rnacentral:rRNA from 1 species
GUGAGGAAUAUUGGACAAUGGGCGCAAGCCUGAUCCAGCCAUGCCGCGUGCAGGAAGACGCAUCUAUGGUGUGUAAACUGCUUUUGUACGGGAAGAAACACUCCCUCGUGAGGGAGCUUGACGGUACCGUAAGAAUAAGGAUCGUCUAACUCCGUGCCAGCAGCCGCGGUAAUACGGAGGAUCCAAGCGUUAUCCGGAAUCAUUGGGUUUAAAGGGUCCGUAGGCGGUUUAAUACGACAGUGGUGAAAGCCCAUCGCUCAACGAUGGAACGGCCAUUGAUACUGUUAGCAUUGAAUUACAAGGAAGUAACUAGAAUAUGUAGUGUAGCGGUGAAAUGCUUAGAUAUUACAUGGAAUACCAAUUGCGAAGGCAGGUUACUACUUGUGGAUUGACGCUGAUGGACGAAAGCGUGGGGAGCGAACAGGAUUAGAUACCCGUGUAGUCC